ensembl:lncRNA
GUGGGUUCAGUUGUUUUUCAGGUUUGGCACUGAAACUGUUUUCAGUGUUUUCAUCUUCCCUUUUUGACUUUAACUUGGAAGGUUGGAUAUUUGAAACAAUAAAGUGCUAGACUUUCAGUGCAUCAGGCAGUCUGCGUGCAUCGAAGAGCCCCAGGUCACAUAAAUAUUAAACUUUAUAAUAUCUGAAACAGACAGACAACCAAUCACAACAGAAUACUGUUGUGAUUGGUUGUCUCUUGGGCAUUUCCUUAGAAGGCAGUUGUCUCUGGUCUUCUGUGUGUAGCAUUCCCCUGAGGUGAACGGUUGCCUGCAAAACAAGAUCUCUCUCUCUCACUCACACACACACACACACACACACACACACACACUUAAAACCCCCAAAAAGGUCACACAGGAUCAAGGAUGCGGCACUGAGGCAGAUUGGCUCCAAUAUUAACAUGUCUUUAUUUGGGUUUGUAAAAAAAAUAAAACAAAGAAAAAAAAACAAUAAAAGAUGACUGUGACACAGCCCAUCCUAAAACAGUGGCCACUGGUGGGUCCUUGGUUCACUGGAUUUAAAACAACAAAAAACACAACACGUGAAAAGCCACAAAAAAACAAACAAAAAAAACCCACAACACAUUAAAAGGAAGGAAUACCAAGCUCGCUGUGAGCAGUCAGGUGACAAUAUAAAUUUCAGAUUUUAAGAAAACAACCACACACACACACACACACACACACACAAAACAAAAUAGAUUGAAGGGCUUGCACCACGCAAGUGAAGAGCAGUCUGUACUGGUUACAGUGGUUAAAAUACUGAUCGUGACCCCCUCACAAAGAGGAAUCCUCUACAGCUCCUGGAGCAAAUCAGCUGGGUCGGUGCAGAGGUAACAAAGAACCAGCACGACACACCAGGAGGGGAUCACUCUCGCUCGGUCACGUGGGCACAAGUAUAAACGGUCCACAAAUUAACUAAAUAAAACAAGGCAAGGUAAAAGAAAAUAAAACCAAUAAAAAUAAAAUCAACCGGGGCACAAGGCAGCAGCUCCUUUGAGGACAAGUCCCAAAACAGCGCCUACUACAGGUGUUUCUAUAGUUCAGUUGGGCUGGAACACAAACAGAUGAGGAGAGGCUUAUAGCAGCAAUCAGAGCCUGAAAACGAAAAUGCAUUUAGCGCUUAGCCUUCUCUAGUUAGGAGUCAGGAAAAAAUAUAGUUAGCGGCUGCUUACCCCAGGACUGAAGUUGCUAAACUGAAUCUGCUGAUAAUACUGCAACUACCUAUCUCCACGACAGCUGAAGUCAAAAAGGAAUAUGUUUAGUAUUGCAGCAUCAACAGCAAUCAACUCAAAGGAAAUUGAUCCUUAAGAUUUUGGGAACUUUAUUCCACGUUAACACGCGGUAAAACCUUUCCUCAUGGAUGCCAUUUUUCUUGUGGUACACUCUCUCUCAGGCAGGGGUGUGAUGACGCAGCAUACGCGUUGCAGUGAAAACAGUCCCCCCUUGGGGGGACAACUAAAAUACUGUCUCUCUGUUAAACGACAGUAGCAAUAUUGCAGUUCAAUACCUGCUACAACAUGAGUACACACCAUGUAUAACUUAACACAAUAAGACAGCCAUGCUACAAACAGGACAACAAAUGUGUCACUAUACAACUCAAAUGGGAAAAAAAGAAAGAAAAGAAUCUGAGGACAAACGUGCAGCCUACCUGUGGCUGUGGUGUAGCCCGAUCAAAACUACCCGAUUUAUCCUGAAGAUAUAUCUGCUCGCAAUGUUGCUUGCAGGAGGCAAAGGAGGAAUGAACGGGAGGAAAGCCUGCAUAGCCUUAUAUGAGCAGGCGCCACCCUGCAAUUAGUGUACAGGUGCAUUCCUAGUCAACCUCAGUUAACUAGCUACGUGACAAACAGAGAGCGAGAGCAGGGGAGAACGGGCAAUAGGGCGAGCGAGUAGCCCAGUGAGCAAACUGUGCAACAAUUCCAAUGGUGUGGUUUCCGUGAGUGUGCUCCUGAUUCCCGCCCUGUGCUCGUGAUCCGUGGCAGGUAAGCAGUUUCCAACACUCGAUUCCACAAUUGCUCCGCUCCCUUGACACCUGGUUAGACCAAAAAACAGGAUGCUCAGGGGCAUACGAAAUGCAAGGUAACAAUGAUUUCCGCUACGAGCCGGGCUUCACUGACUUGACAACUCAACGAUCCAGUUCCGUCGUGCCUCGCGGAGGAGUCUCUCUGUCUCCCAAGUGAGCGACCCCACUAUGCAUCUAGCGGGUAGGAUGGGUUUCUCUUUUUCUGACGCUUCCAAAAGCAAUGAGAACUGGUGUGAGAGGGCGUCGGGCUUAGUGUUCUGCGAGCCAGGCCUGUAAGUGAUUGUCAGAUUAAAUCUGGUAAAAAACAGAGCCCACCUGGCCUUACGAGCAUUCAAACGCUUAGCUGCUUGCAGAUAGGACAGGUUUUUAUAAUCGGUCCAAAUGAGCAUGUGGUGUUUGAUUCCUUCCAGUCAGUGUCUCCAUUCCUCGAAGGCCAACUUUAUUGCAAGCAGCUCCCUUUCGGCAACAUCAUAAUUUUGCUCUGCCUGCCAGAGACAGCGAGGAAAAAAAAAAAGCCCAUGAUUGCAGUUUACCUUCAAUGUGCUGUGAGAGGACCGCUCCAACCCCUGAAUCUGACGCAUCCACCUCUACCAUAAAGGGCUUAUUUAGGUCGGCCUGUGCCAGGAUGGGUGCCAAAGAAAAGAGUUGUUUGAGCCGUUUGAAAGCUUGCUGGGCAGAGGAGGACCACUGGAAGGAGAUCUUGGGUGAGGUUAGGUUAGUCAAUAGCGCCACCACCUUACUGAAGUCUCUUAUAAACCAUCUGUAAAAACUGGAAAACCCCAGAAACCUUUGAAGUUCUUUUUGAGUCUGAGACACCGGUCACUCCACCACAGCCUUGAUCUUGGCCAGAUUCACUCUGAGCUGUCCCUGCUCCAUGAUAAAUCCCAGGAAAGAAACAGACUGCACAUGAAAUGCACAUUUCUCACCUCUGACGAAAAGACGGUUUUCCAAGAGACGUUGCAGGACUUGACGGACGUGUUUCACAUGGUCUCAGAGGUUCUUUGAGAAAAUGAUAAUAUAGUCCAAGUAGACAAAAUCAAGGUGGUUUAGGAAGUUUCUAAUUCACCAGAGCUUAGAGGGGGGUGUUGGUCAAUCCAAACGCCAUGACUAGAUAUUCAAAAUGGCCGAGGUGAGUAUUAAAUGCCGGUUUCCACUCGUCUCCCUUUUGUAUUCUGACCAAGUAAUAGCCAUUGCGGAGGUCCAGUUUAGAAAAAAACAGCGACUCCCAGCAGUAAUUCAAAAGCAGAGGAGAGUAGAGGUAGCAGGUACUUAUUCUUUAUCGUGAUUUUGUCCAGUCUGUGGAAUUCAAUGCAGAGACAAAGUGAUUUAUCCUUCUUCUCAACGAGAAAAAAGAAAACAAAAAAACACAGCGGCAAGUGAAGAUGUGGAAGGUUGAAUGAUGCUGGCUGGCAAUGAAUCGGUUAUAUAGUGCUCCAUCACCUCUCGCUCUGGUUUGGACAGGCUAUACAACUGACUGGUGGGCAAUGGGGCCCCAGGAAGCUAGUCUUUGCCCAAUCAAUCUGCGGUUUAUGAAGACUGAGCCAGGGAAAACCAAGAACCAAAUCAGUACCAGGGCCACAGAACAAAAACAAACUCACCUCCUCCACGUGAUUGCCGGAGAGUGUCAGUUCAACUUUCUGGGUGUGGUGAGACUAAGGCUACGUCCACACGUACACGGGUAUUUUUGAAAACGGAGAUUUUCCAAUUUCUUUUUUUUUUAAAAUCCCGUCUACACGUAAACGCCAAAAAUGAAGGAAAACGCUGCCAGGAACAUGCCAGAGCAACAGGUGGUGAUAUAUUCCUAACCGUGUAGAAAUGUUGGCCAUUCAGAAGUCUAGAAGCCUGGGUGGGAAAGAGUAAACAAAGAUGGUGCAUAGAAGCAGAACCGAGUCGUAUGUGUGGAGGGACAGUAACUGUGCGUGUAUACGUAAGCAUUUAAACACUUCAGAGAGUAAAAUUAACAGUAUUUUGUCUAAGUCCGCCAUUGUAGAAAUUCAUUUCACGAAAAAAAAACAAAAAAACGUGGCGCACAGUGUGACGUCAAAAAAGGCGCACACCUUUGACGCUGCGUUUUCUCAGUUUUCCUCGUCCACACCUAAACGCAAAAACUGAGUUUUCUAAAAUCUCCACCCUGGCAGGAGUUUUUAAAAAUCUCAGUUUUCAGUGUGAACGAAAGGUGCAAAUGCAUAGAAAAAUUUGCGUUUUCAGGUGUACGUGUGGACGUAGCCUUAGCUUGACAGGAGAGACUAUGUAGGGUAACAGCUUGGGUGGUGCCAACUAGCAUCCCCACAGCUACUGACAGACAGACUCUUAACCAUAACGGGCAGGUAUCAACAUAGUGUCCCUUUUUCCCACAAAAGAAACACUGACCCACCAGCAGCCUUCUCCUCCAAUUUGCCUGUCUGUCCUGCUCACAUCUCCAAUGGUUGUACACGUUGUCAUUAACGUGGCUUCACUCCACAUCAGCCACGCCGCUUUGCUAGCUAAAACACCGGUGCAGUGUUGCCAACUCCUCAGUAAGGAAAAUCGCUAUUGGCUGUCCUCAAAGUCGCUAGAAGUCGCUAAAUGACGUCAUCGCCUAAUUUGCAUAAUUGGUCAUGCUAAUGUAAAUGUAACCUACGUUGUUGGAGAGAGAAAUAACAUCAUGGAAGAGACAUAAAAGCUGGCAAAAGCUGACGACUGUCCUUAAGCCAUUCAGGUUUGUGACUGAGCUUUUUGGAGGUGAGACAUGUGUCUCAUGUUCAGUGGUUUUACCUGCUUACUGCCACCUGCAUCACACCAUGGAGGUCUCCAAUGAUGACUCAGACUACAUGGUGAAAUUUAAGACUGCCUUUACAAAGAACCUAUCCCAACAUGUAGCUACACUCAACCAUCAGUGGCUCAAGAUAGCUACUGUGCUUGACCCACACUUUAAGAAUUUAAAGUGUCUUGCAAGGGGAGAGUGAGAAGAGGUUUGGACCAGCCUUGAGGUUGCUGCAGGAACAGUGUAAAGAUGCCACCACAAAGGAGCCAGCAAAGACAAAGAGCCUCCUCCUCUCUUCAUUGUCUUCAGACUCUGAUUCAGAUGAGGAAGCCCUGUGUAACAGGGCCCUGAGCAGAAUCCACCAUCAGCGAUAAAGACUGCCCACUGCAGUCUAAUACAAUUAUCAUUGUUGUUUGUCGAAUCCUAAUGGCAACUGUAGUGUGUAAUCAGUUGCUGCAGAAGCCUGCCUCUCCUUGAGCCUGAGUCUGUUUUAUACUCUCGGGCUUUCCUCCUGAACUACUCCCCCCAGUCUCUGCUUUUCAAUCCAGUACCAGGGCAAUUAGAUAGUCACUCACCCUACAUGUAUCAAGUAUCUAGUAUCAAGACUUUCUUGGCCCUCACCAAGGUUCAUUUUUAGCUGCUUCCUGUGUGCUCUGUUUUCUGGUCAACCAUUUGCAUACAUAUUCUAUGGACCAAAGUUGAACAUCUGUGAUAAGUGCUGUAAAACUACUUUUCUAGAUUUAUAAAAAGCCCAGCCAACCUACUUUCACACCCUUGUUUUGUUUGUGUAUACUGAAAUCUAAGCUAAUGGCUGAACAUGAUAUCUCAACCUCUAGAAGAUGAAAGCCUCAAGUUCUCACAGUUUUUUCCUGACCAUCAAAAUAAAUGUAGACCUAUAAAUGUCUGAGUAUUGACUAGUAUGUAACAAAACAAAACAAAACAAAACAAAACAAAAAAAACCACCAACUUCACACCACCCAAAGAAGUUCAAUAUUUGAGAACACUAAUACAAAAAUUCACAUUGUAAAAAACAACUAGUGACAGUUUCUGAAUGGUAUCUAGCUAUAUUUCACAAUAAUGCAAAAGCAUGUAGAAUACAUGAAAUUUUUAGUCAUAAAAUAAAAAUGCUAUUCUUAUUCACUUUUCAAUUGUCUUGUUAAUAGUAAACACAUCAGAAAUAAAUAUCAAACAGAAGAGAUACAUACAUAGAGGAAUAUAUACAAACUAGAGGAAUAUAUACAAAAGAAGAGAAAGGCACACAAUGGAGAGCAAAGUGCUUGGAAGCAGUGGAAAAGGACUUGGUCUGAUAAUGAGUAAGCUGAAGAGGAAAUGGAUUUGCGCUCAUCUAGAAGAUCUUUGUUUGGCCUGGAGAAAUAGUUUCUUUUACUCUGAAAACAUAGCUGUCUGUAAAGCUAAGACAUCUUCCUAUUCCUAUUAGUUAAAAAGCCCUUACCUGGUCCAGCUGUCUUUGCCAAUUCUCUAACCUUCCUUGCUCAUUAGCAACUUCUUGACUUUAAAUAUAAUAUGCUAGUACUGCAACUUUUGCAUGUGUGUCAAUUUCACGCUUUGGAGAGGCAAACCAUGAAAUGGACACAGUAGACCAGUCUAUUGCAUGCUUUACCAUAUCAUUAAAUUUUGUUUUCCCUCUCCCAUAUUGUGUCUUUUGUUCUUUCUUCUCUUCUUCUUUUUCUUUCCUCUCAUCCUCCAAAUGGUUAGGGGAGAGGGCUGGCCCAUCCUUAACAUGGUUCUGUCAGAGUUUUUUCCAUCCCAUUGUAGCAAAGUGCUUGUUCAUAUGGGGCUGUUUGAUUGUGGGGGUGAUUUCUCAGAUGCUGAGCAGUCCAUGAAUUAACCUGAGGUCAAAGACAUUUGUGCAGCUGCUAAUGAUCUUUCCAAAGACGCCACUGCUACCUCUUCAUAGGCACAAUGUUAACCUGCCCCAAGAAUAUAUAUAAAACACUUUGGCUAAUAACAGUUCUCUCUUAAAUGUAACAAUUUUUAGUAGCUUCUUAGCUUUGCUGUUAGUUUGUCAGAAUACUUUUACUGUAAACUAAAUGUUAGUUUUGCAGUUUGACCCAGGGAUGUAAAACUCUUUUUACAUCGUGGGCCACUUACAAGUGGGCCAGACCAGUGAAUUUACAUGAUAAAUGUGUAAAAUUACACAAAAAGUAAUUCAUUAUCCAG